rnacentral:rRNA from 1 species
GAUGAACGCUAGCGGCAGGCUUAAUACAUGCAAGUCGAGGGGCAGCAUGAUUGUAGCAAUACAAUUGAUGGCGACCGGCAAACGGGUGCGGAACACGUACGCAACCUUCCAAUAAGUGGGGAAUAGCCCAGAGAAAUUUGGAUUAAUACCCCGUAACAUAACGAUGUGGCAUCACAUUGUUAUUAUAGCUUCGGCGCUUGUUGAUGGGUGUGGGGCUGAUUAGAUAGUUGGCGGGGUAACGGCCCACCAAGUCUACGAUCAGUAGCUGAUGUGAGAGCAUGAUCAGCCACACGGGCACUGAGACACGGGCCCGACUCCUACGGGAGGCAGCAGUAAGGAAUAUUGGACAAUGGACGCAAGUCUGAUCCAGCCAUGCCGCGUGAAGGAUUAAGGUCCUCUGGAUUGUAAACUUCUUUUAUAAGGGACGAAAAAAGGUCUUUCUAGAUCGUCCGGCGGUACCUUAUGAAUAAGCACCGGCUAACUCCGUGCCAGCCGCCGCCGUAACAC